UAGGGAAUCUUCCACAAUGGGCGAAAGCCUGAUGGAGCAACGCCGCGUGGGUGAAGAAGGUCUUCGGAUCGUAAAACCCUGUUGUUAGAGAAGAAAGUGCGUGAGAGUAACUGUUCACGUUUCGACGGUAUCUAACCAGAAAGCCACGGCUAACUACGUGCCAGCAGCCGCGGUAAUACGUAGGUGGCAAGCGUUAUCCGGAUUUAUUGGGCGUAAAGGGAACGCAGGCGGUCUUUUAAGUCUGAUGUGAAAGCCUUCGGCUUAACCGGAGUAGUGCAUUGGAAACUGGGAGACUUGAGUGCAGAAGAGGAGAGUGGAACUCCAUGUGUAGCGGUGAAAUGCGUAGAUAUUAGGAGGAACACCAGUGGCGAAGGCGGCCUGCUGGGCUUUUACUGACGCUGAGGCUCGAAAGUGUGGGGAGCAAACAGGGAUUAGAUACC
rnacentral:rRNA from 1 species